GGGGAUGUAGCUCAGCGGUAGAGCACAUGUUUUGCAUGUAUGGGGCCCCGGGUUCGAGUCCCGGCAUCUCCA